rnacentral:rRNA from 1 species
AGAGUUUGAUCCUGGCUCAGAACGAACGCUGGCGGCGUGUUUAAGACAUGCAAGUCGCACGGGAUUGAUUGAGUAGUAAUACGAGGUCAGUCUAGUGGCGCACGGGUGAGUAACAUGUGAAUUACAUGCCCUAUAGUGGGGAAUAGCCCAGGGAAACUUGGAUUAAUACCCCAUAGUCUCGCAAGAGUAAAGGUGGCCGCAAGGCUGUCGCUAUAGGAUUGGUUCGCACCCUAUCAGCUUGUUGGUGAGGUAAUGGCUCACCAAGGCUACGACGGGUACCUGGUCUGAGAGGACGAUCAGGCACACUGGAACUGAGACACGGUCCAGACACCUACGGGUGGCAGCAGUCGAGAAUAAUUCACAAUGGGGGCAACCCUGAUGGUGCCACGCCGCGUGGAGGAUGACGGUCUUCGGAUUGUAAACUCCUGUCAUCUGGGAGUAAGGCAUGGUUGUGAAUAGCAAACAUGAUUGAUAGUACCAGAAGAGAAG